AGUGAACGCUGGCGGUAGGCCUAACACAUGCAAGUCGAACGGCAGCACAGUAAGAGCUUGCUCUUACGGGUGGAGAGUGGCGGACGGGUGAGGAAUACAUCGGAAUCUACUUUUUCGUGGGGGAUAACGUAGGGAAACUUACGCUAAUACCGCAUACGACCUACGGGUGAAAGCAGGGGAUCUUCGGACCUUGCGCGAUUGAAUGAGCCGAUGUCGGAUUAGCUAGUUGGCGGGGUAAAGGCCCACCAAGGCGACGAUCCGUAGCUGGUCUGAGAGGAUGAUCAGCCACACUGGAACUGAGACACGGUCCAGACUCCUACGGGAGGCAGCAGUGGGGAAUAUUGGACAAUGGGCGCAAGCCUGAUCCAGCCAUACCGCGUGGGUGAAGAAGGCCUUCGGGUUGUAAAGCCCUUUUGUCGGGAAAGAAAAGCAGCAGGUUAAUACCCCGCUGUUCUGACGGUACCCAAAGAAUAAGCACCGGCUAACUUCGUG
rnacentral:rRNA from 1 species